rnacentral:tRNA from 1 species
GCCUUCGUGGUGUAGUGGUCUGCAUGCUUCGAUUCCCGUGGUCCGGGGUUCGAUUCCCGGUGAAGGCG